CUACGGGUCGCUCCAGUGAGGAAUAUUGCACAAUGGGGGGAACCCUGAUGCAGCAACGCCGCGUGGAGGAUGACGCAUUUCGGUGUGUAAACUCCUUUUAUAUGUCAAGAAAAUGACGGUAGCAUAUGAAUAAGCACCGGCUAACUCCGUGCCAGCAGCCGCGGUAAUACGGAGGGUGCAAGCGUUACUCGGAAUCACUGGGCGUAAAGGACGCGUAGGCGGGUUGGAAAGUCAGGUGUGAAAUCCUACAGCUUAACUGUAGAACUGCACUUGAAACUUCUAAUCUAGAGUAUGGGAGGGGGAGAUGGAAUUAGUGGUGUAGGGGUAAAAUCCGUAGAUAUCACUAGGAAUACCUAAAGCGAAGGCGAUCUCCUGGAACAUUACUGACGCUAAGGCGUGAAAGCGUGGGGAGCAAACAGGAUUAGAUACCCGAGUAGUC
rnacentral:rRNA from 1 species